UAGCUUUUCCUUUCAAAUCUAAUAAACAUAAUAAUAGUUGUGCAGUAUACAUGACAUUGGUUUUGAUGUUUCACUAUGCCUUUGUAAUUUUCUUGUUAUAAAUCUUAUUCACUUAUGUAAUUUUACAGGAUGAUUCAUAAAUAUUUGAAAUGUACAUGUUAAUUAUUAUGUAGCGAUACAUGUAUUAGAAAUUUUCUUCAUAUAAAUGCACAAAAUUCAAAUAUAUAUACAGGUAUAUAUAAUACAUACCUUUCUGAAAAUAUUUUUACCCUGGUGUGUUGUAUAUUUACAAAUUUGAUAGGGGGUAUCAUUUUCUGUACUGAUGACUUUUUUGUUCAGGUUUUUAGUUAUUGUGUAUUCAUUAUACACUGUCUGAACAAAUAAAUAAUUCUUAG
rnacentral:misc_RNA from 1 species